CCCCGAGUGGGGGAUACCGUGGGANACACGGCUAAUACCCCGGAUGCCAAAGUAUUUAGAAAGCUUUGGCUAAAGCUCCGGCGCCUCGGGAGGGGCCUGCGGGCUAUCAGCUUGUUGGUGGGGUAAUGGCCUACCAAGGCAAAGACGGCUAGGGGGCGUGAGAGCGCGAACCCCCACAAUGGAACUGAGACACGGUCCAUACUCCUACGGGAGGCAGCAGUGAGGAAUAUUGCGCAAUGGGGGCAACCCUGACGCAGCAACGCCGCGUGGAUGAUGAAGGCCUUCGGGUUGUAAAAUCCUUUUCCGGGGGAAGAAUCAUGACGGUACCUCGGGAAUAAGUCCCGGCUAACUACGUGCCAGCAGCCGCGGUAAAACGUANGGGGCGAGCGUUAUCCGGAUUUACUGGGCGUAAAGCGCACGUAGGCGGCGCUGUAAGUUGGGCGUGAAAGCUCCCGGCUCAACUGGGAGAGGUCGUUCAAAACUGCAGUGCUUGAGGUUGGAAGAGGAGAGUGGAAUUCCCGGUGUAGUGGUGGAAUGCGUAAAUNUCGGGAGGAACACCAGUGGCGAAGGCGGGCUCUCUGGUCCAACCCUGACGCUGAGGUGCGAAAGCGUGGGGAGCGAACGGGAUUAGAUACCCCGGUAGUCCACGCUGUAAACGA
rnacentral:rRNA from 1 species